rnacentral:ncRNA from 1 species
GUGCGUCUUCAGGGCGGGGCGAAAUUCCCCACCGGCGGUAGGCUGGCGAAAGCCGGCGAGCCCGCGAGCGCCCGCGCAUUUGCGCGGGGUCAGCAGAUCUGGUCGAAUGCCAGAGCCGACGGUCAUAGUCCGGAUGAGAGAAGAUGUGC